UUUAAAUGAUUGCUUAAGCAGAACAUAUAUCUGAAUGGUACAGAAAAGAUAGGCACAGUCCCUGCGCAAGGAUGACACGCAAUAACGCGAAGUGUUCCAACCACCA